UACAGAGACUGCAAGCGUUAUUCGGAUUCACUGGGCGUAAAGGGUGCGCAGGCGGCGCGUUAAGACAGGUGUGAAAGCCCCGAGCUUAACUUGGGAAUUGCGCUUGUGACUGGCGUGCUGGAGUGUGGCAGAGGGAGGUGGAAUUCCACGUGUAGCAGUGAAAUGCGUAGAGAUGUGGAGGAACACCGAUGGCGAAGGCAGCCUCCUGGGCCAGCACUGACGCUCAGUGCACGAAAGCGUGGGGAGCAAACAGG
rnacentral:rRNA from 1 species